CUUACAAAUAGAAACUCUUCCAUAAAAGAUUACAUUAUAAAGAAAUUAAUGUUUGCAAGCUCUGGGAAAUGUGAGAAGGAUUGCGCAAAGAAAGUUAUGGCUCUUCUUAUGACAAAUCACACGGGAACGUUCUUUAACUGGAAAGGCGGAAAGGGAAAGCAGCCAUUUGGGAGCUGGCACUUAAAAGAAACAGUAAUCAGUAAACGGCAGUUAAAAAAUUAAGAAGAGACGGACUAUUAGAUAUAGGAAAGGCAG